rnacentral:rRNA from 1 species
UACAGAGGGCGCGAGCGUUGUCCGGAAUCACUGGGCGUAAAGGGCGCGUAGGCGGCUCGGUCAGCGUGCGGUGAAAGCCCGGGGCUCAACCCCGGGUCGGCCGUGCGAACUGCUGGGCUCGAGCACUGUAGAGGCAGGUGGAAUUCCGGGUGUAGCGGUGGAAUGCGUAGAGAUCCGGAAGAACACCGGUGGCGAAGGCGGCCUGCUGGGCAGUAGCUGACGCUGAUGCGCGACAGCGUGGGGAGCAAACAGG